UACGUAGGGCGCAAGCGUUGUCCGGAAUUAUUGGGCGUAAAGAGCUCGUAGGCGGUUUGUUGCGUCGGCUGUGAAAUCCCGAGACUCAACCUCGGGUCUGCAGUCGAUACGAGCAAACUAGAGUGUUGCAGGGGAGACUGGAAUUCCUGGUGUAGCGGUGAAAUGCGCAGAUAUCAGGAGGAACACCGGUGGCGAAGGCGGGUCUCUGGGCAACAACUGACGCUGAGGAGCGAAAGCGUGGGGAGCGAACAGG
rnacentral:rRNA from 1 species